UUAGGCACAACCUGCCAGUGUCUAUCUAGGGAAACAUCAUUCUGUGUGCUGUGAUAGGGUAAACGUCACGAUAAGGCAACUUUACACAGAUACCGAUUGCACUUGGACAGAAAACACAGGCCUUUAUAAGUUACACUGCUGGGUGUAGCGACAAGCAAACGGUCACAGCUAUCGGGCAGACAUGUACACCAAGGCAGUUAUCUUCUUUGCGCUCGUCAUUGCUAUCUUCUCUGUGGAGGCUACGUGCCAGAGGGAAGCGGAUAUACUUCAACUACUAGAACCGAUUUUUCGCAAGAUUCUGCAAUUGGUUGUAAAGCUUGUCCCUGAUAGGUCAGCAACGAACCGGUAACUUAAGGACCUUCUAGACAGAUGCCAGCUGCAGUUCCUGCAAUAUUAUCUAAUAUUUAUAUAUGUAAAUGGAAUAAUUUAAAUCUUGGAAACUGUGUUAAUAUUAUGCCUAAAAGAAACAACUGGUGUAACGAUUUAAUAAAUGUGAUGUGUAACAAAUAAAGGAAGAAGAG